rnacentral:rRNA from 1 species
UACGUAGGGCGCAAGCGUUGUCCGGAAUUAUUGGGCGUAAAGAGCUCGUAGGCGGUCUGUUACGUCCGCUGUGAAAACCCAGGGCUUAACCCUGGGCUUGCAGUGGAUACGGGUAGACUAGAGGCAGGUAGGGGGAGAAUGGAAUUCCCGGUGUAGCGGUGAAAAUGCGCAGAUAUCGGGAGGAACACCGGUGGCGAAGGCGGUUCUCUGGGCUUACCUGACGCUGAGGAGCGAAAGUGUGGGGG